rnacentral:misc_RNA from 1 species
AACGCACAUUGCGCUCAAGCCUUCGGGCUUGAGCAUGUCUGCCUCAGCGUCGUUUCAAAUGGCUUGCCGUCCGUGACCCUUGCCGCUCCCUUCGAGGGAGGGCAUGGGUUUAAGCCGUGACCUCCGGCGCGUCCGUCCAUCCGUGGGCGGCGUGCAGCAGCAGCCACUCCGGCACUGCUCAUCGUAAGCAUGCUGCAUACCGUGGCAUAUAUGCUCUACCAUGGGCCCUGCUGGUUAGUUGAUGGCGCGGCUUGCUUGACGUGUGUUGUGUUUAUCUCAGCACACACAAGCAGGCUCUGCUUCAGCUGGACACCUGGCUGCGCAACACACCAUUCGACCUGAGUUUAGGCAGGGUUACCCGCUGAACUUAA